AAGUCGUAACAAGGUUUCCGUAGGUGAACCUGCGGAAGGAUCAUUAACAGUAUCCAAACGUUAACCCCCUGUGAACCUUCAAUGUGCUCGUACAAGCCCCUUUAUCACCACUUGAUGCAUGACAGACGCGCCAGCGCUUAAUUGUGCGGCGACCAAAAACCGAACAACUGUUAACAAUGGAUAUCUUGGUUCUCA
rnacentral:misc_RNA from 1 species